CUUCAGCAUCAACUUCUUCAGGCAUACGCUUCCUGGCGGAGUAAAGAUGUGAUUCAUAGACCGUACAUGUGGACUCAUGGUCUGAAUGCUCCACAACACCUUUCAAUAGAACCAAAUGAUCCUCCUGCUUUCCUUUGUCUUUCAAUUCAUUGUAAAAAGAGCUUGUAAAAGGAACUCAACAUUUUGUUUCCAGAUACAAAGAGUAUGUAGGUACUUGAGGUUUAUCAACUACCUGGCCUAUGUCCACAGAGUAUCUGACAUUGCCAAAGUUGGUUGAAAGAGGAGCAAAUGGGAGUACCAUUCCAUGCAUCUUUUUCUCGACAAAAAUUCUGUCUGUAAUGUUUACAAUAUUUCAGAAGGUAUAAAACUCAAUUUUGUUUCUUGUUGACAGCAAGAGGACUGAAAUAUACAAGUUUUUCACCUUCUUGGCCUGCACCACCCUUGGACGAACCAGAUCGUGAAAAUAAUAAUUCGGCUUUUGAAGGUAGUAUCUUAAGGCUUGCUCCUGUUAUAUCUGCUUGCUUCUUUGUCAAUGUCUCUUCAGAAAUGGUAGUCAGAUCUUUUCCAAAUGCUGUGGCAAUCUAUCGAGUUAGCACAAUAAUUUCAAGUUUAAAUGGUGAAACUUCAGCUUUUGAUACUUACGGUCAACCAGUCAAGAAAGAAAAUGAAGAGGGGGUUGAACGGGAAAAUGUAUCCAAUAAGUGCAUCCAUACUUAUCCAAUACUAAUUAGAAGAUCUUCAGAAUAAGGCAUUGAAUAGGAAAAUGUAUCCUCAGAAAGAAAACAAAGAUCCCGCAAAUCUUCAGAAUCUCAACUCCCGAAGUGCCUUAUAGGAACAUAUUGUGCCAUGAAGACUUUUUUAAGCAUGAUCUCCAAAGAGAAACUGAUUAAGAGACGCUUGUCGAGGAAGUUAUGGCUUACCUUAUUCUAAGUAUGCCCAAGAAAUUCAUUCACAGCUAUUGUUAUUUUUGCAUACAUCAACGGAGAGGAACAAUAAAUGCUUGGCUUGUGAGUUCUGCACACCGCUGUCCUACCAGUGUCCACAGUGUUUGGAAUAUGUCAAUGGUUGGCUUGUGAGUUCUGCACACCGCUGUCCUACCAGUGUCCACAGUGUUUGGAAUAUGUCAAUGGUUGGCUUGUGAGUUCUGCACACCGCUGUCCUACCAGUGUCGACAGUGUUACUUACUGCCAUCUUCACAAUGGUUGAGGCCCUUACAUCAAGCCCAGAGGUUUGUUCAUAAAAAAAUAUUAUAGAUGUGUUGGCAACAAACUAUAGGGCAAUUGCCAGUCUCUUUCGAUGCUCGGUUGACAAGCCAUUCACUCCAGGUGAUCCUACAAGCGCACCCUCAGUAUCUUCAGCUCCACGAGUUCCAUGACCUCCUAAAAGAACAAUUGCAGUUAUUCAUUGAUUUAUACUAGUCACUUCCUUGCCGAAGUAAGUAAGAUUUCCUUUCUUUAGAUUUUUUUCCUUACUGACCUUUCUUGCUUCAGCAUCAACUUCUUCAGGCAUACGCUUCCUGGCGGAGUAAAGAUGUGAUUCAUAGACCGUACAUGUGCUCUGCUAACACCCAUCAAUGCUGCUAGGACUCAUGGUCUGAAUGCUCCACAACACCUUUCAAUAGAACCAAAUGAUCCUCC